rnacentral:lncRNA from 1 species
CCGAUAUAGCUUAUAUGUGUAACACUCCAGGUUCCACAAACAACCCGGUAUGCUACUGUACUACACUUCCGACGUCCAUAUAUAAAAUUUCGGCAGCAUCCCCUUUGCAAGAUUGCAUAAAAGAGGGAGCAACAGAGUAUAAACAUAUAUCAUGACUAAAACAUACUAAGUAUUAUUACUCGACUAGCAAGGAAAGAUAAACAUACGACCUGAACUGAAUUAACCAGUGCGCAUGACCAUAUAAAAAAAUAAACAAACUUCCUUUGACAAUAAGUUUCUAAUUAAAUCAUGGCUGCGCCUGGGCAGCGUUAUUGUGAGAGUGAAAGUGGACGUGCUGCUACUCCCCUCAUUCCCAACAUGUAUCAAGUACCUGCAUUGAGUAAUGCAAGAGUGAGAUGACACAUCUCAGCAAGUAAAAUAAUAUCAAACAGUUUAACCACAUAAGAACAUUGUUUUACCACCACUUAAUUCCACAACCUUCUUAUUACGAAGGUGCAGCACGUAUACAACGUACAACGCACCUAGUUACCACACCUCGCAGGUAGAAACCACAAUAGUAACAUAGUAAAGUCACACUUCAUAUAUUCCUCAUGAGUGCAAAUGUCUGCAAAUGCAAGGAUGACUUCUGCCUUCAUACCUCUAAGGAUAUGAAGCCGCAUCGUACCCCUCCUCGGGCAACGUACGAUGCUAAAAAUGUACCGGUACGGUCGGACCAUAAGAUCACGACAUAACUUCAAAAUGCAAGAUGGAUGAUGCGAUGUGCAUGUCAUGCCUACAACACUUCAUAUAACAUGAUUCAAAAAGACACUUCAACUUCAUCCAGAUGGGAAUCAACCCCAUAUAUCAUUACCAAAUUAUGAUCAUCCACAAUAUUAGACAAUUGAGAAUUAAUACUUCCAAACAAAUAAACUUCAUCAUAGAAUUCAAUGAUUAACAUAAUUAAAACUUAUGCAUACUCAAUGACAGGGAAUAGGAUGCAAACCAAACGGUAGCAAUCACCACUGUAUUUACUUGCCUUUACCGGAAGUUCGGGCAAAUCCCAAGUACGAUCCGAAAGCCCACCACCUGUUUUUGACACCCAACUUAGUACACCAAUUUCACAUAAUCAGGCUCAUAAGCGACGCCGCACCUACGCACAAACUCAAACCCCGCCGCGGGUUACAUCUCUCCCUACACCCACCAAACUGCAGCGGCGCUGCUUAAUAAUUUCAUAACUUUAAAAUUAUGACAGCAGUGGUAACAAACAAAAACUCCAGAGGCAUUUACAUAAAAUUCCCCACAAGUUUUGUAUACAAUUUAUAAUUAAAUUCCAAUAUCUAAUUAGCCCAAAACAGUCCACAAGAUGAACCCUGUAAUCUGUUUUUCUUUGUCUUUUGGACAGCGACAUACCCAGAUUCAAACAGCGAUAUCUUUUAAAAUAUAAUUCCAAAUCAAGCGCAUAAGUACUCAUUGGAAAGAUAAGACAAAUCCCUACAUGAUUACUAUACUGGUUAACACUAAUUACCCACGAAAAAUUCCCAGAAACUGCUAAUACCACUGCUGUUCACCCACCUGAAAAAUCUGUUUUUUUGGACAGCAACAUAACCGGAUUCAAACAACGAUAUCUCCUGAAUUAUAACUCCGAAUCGAGCGCAUAAGUACUUGUUGGAAAGAUAACAUAAAGCCCUACAUGAUUCUCAUACUGAUUAACACUAAUUACUCCCGAAAAAUCCCCAGAAACUGCUAAUACUGCUGCUGUUCAUCCCCCUGAAAAAUCUGUUUUUUUGGACAGCCACACCCGGAUUCAAACGGUGAUAACUUUCAAUUUAUAACUCCAAAUUGAGCGCAUAAAUACUCGUUGGAAAGGUAAGGUAAAGUUCUACAUGAUCCCCAAACUGAUUUCCCUUAAUUCCUCACGAAAAAAACACAGAAACUGCUAGACUACUGCUGUUCACCCACCACCUAAAAUUCUGGACAGCCCCCCUCUACCCCAAUCGCAAACGCAACCUCUAAUCAAUUAAAUUGCAGUGCAAAUGAACAAGGGAUGAACACAAAAAAUCACCUUGGAUUCUCCCCUUUUCCUUCCUCCCUUCUUCCCUCCACCAAAACGAUUGAAGACUCGCACCACGACGACGAUGAUCCGAGCGGCAAGGAUUGGCACCUUGGGAGGAGGGGAUUGAGAGGGGGGCGGCUAGGGUUUGGUGGCUGCAAGAAUUGAGAGAGGAGGAGAUGGGCAGGGGGGCGGCGGCCAAGGCGGAAGAGAAG